ACAUAGCUCAGUCGGCAGAGCGUCGCCUUGGUAAGGCGGAGGUCACCGGUUCGAAUCCGGUUGUG
rnacentral:tRNA from 1 species